CCAGGGUUCUCCGCUUCGCGGGUCAAUCCAUAGGCCCGGUCAGGCAGCAGGCCAGCUUCACCCGGGAGGUUUUUCCUGAGCCCGAAGGUCCAGUACCCGCUUUAGUGUCCAGAUGAGGCAGAGUAGUUUUCGCAUGGGGAGGAUCGAACCCGGAUGGUGGUUGCCACCACAGGCCCGUCCUUUCACUUGGACUACCUCGUCC
rnacentral:lncRNA from 1 species